ACAGUACUCCCUCCAUCCGGAAUUACUUGUGGCUAAAUGGAUGUAUCCAGAACUAAAAUACGUCUAGAUACAUCCAUUUCUCCGACAAGUAUUUCCGGAUGGAGGGAGUACUAC
rfam:Triticum aestivum genome assembly, contig: Triticum_aestivum_CS42_TGACv1_scaffold_093068_2AL